rnacentral:rRNA from 1 species
ACGGGGGGUGCAAGCGUUGUUCGGAAUCAUUGGGCGUAAAGCGCGCGCAGGCGGCUUGGUAAGUCAGAUGUGAAAUCCCUGGGCUUAACCCAGGAAGUGCAUUUGAUACUGCCUCGCUAGAGUACGGGAGAGGAAAGUGGAAUUCCUGGUGUAGAGUUGAAAGUCGUAGAUAUCAGGAGGAGCACCGGUGGCGAGGGCGACUUUCUUGCUUGAUACUGACUCUCAGGCGCGAAAGCGUUGGGAGCAAACAG